GCUUUUAAUUUUUUCUGUAUAGUUUUCUAAAGUUUUAUCCUCAUUUAAGAGAUUGAAACGAAUUCCCAACAGUUUAAACUUUCCUGAAGUAUUCCAAGAUAAUUUCCUAUUUGGUAACAGUUUUUCGUUACUGCCUAAUCUUGAGCCAACCCAUAUGGCUUCAGUUUUAUCUACAUUUACCCUCAAACCAGCACAGGCAGCAAAACUAUCAAAAAUGUGCAAUGCUUGUUUAAGAGAUUCCUCAUUUUCAUCCAGAAUCAGAGAGGAGUCAUCUGCAUAUUGACUUAGUAAAAACUCAGAGUCGUUUACUGUGACACCAGAAACAAUUGGGUCAUAUUUUAAAGCUGCACUAAGUAGUUCCAACACAAGGAUGAAGAGAUAAGGGGAUAAAGGAUCCCCUUGCCUAACCCCCCUAGCCAAAUUAAAAAAUUCUGAUAAAUGUCCAUUAUUUGUAACUGUACUGGUAAUGUCUGUAUAAAAACAUUUUAUCCAUCUACAAAGUGUGGGACCAAACCCAUAAAAAUCUAAAGUUUUUUCAAUAAAGGACCAUUCGACCGUGUCGAAGGCUUUUUCAAAGUCAACCAGUAAUAAUAAUCCUGGAAUAUC
rnacentral:lncRNA from 1 species